rnacentral:rRNA from 1 species
AGCGAACGCUGGCGGCAGGCCUAACACAUGCAAGUCGAACGAACCCUUCGGGGUUAGUGGCGGACGGGUGAGUAACACGUGGGAACGUGCCUUUAGGUUCGGAAUAACUCAGGGAAACUUGUGCUAAUACCGAAUGUGCCCUUCGGGGGAAAGAUUUAUCGCCUUUAGAGCGGCCCGCGUCGGAUUAGCUAGUUGGUGAGGUAAUGGCUCACCAAGGCUACGAUCAGUAGCUGGUCUGAGAGGAUGACCAGCCACAUUGGGACUGAGACACGGCGCAAACUCCUACGGGAGGCAGCAGUGGGGAAUCUUGCGCAGUGGGCGAGAGCCUGACGCAGCCAGGCCGCGUGGAUGAUGAAGGUCUUAGGAUUGUAAAAUCCUUUCACCGGUGAAGAUAAUGACUGUAGCCGGAGAAGAAGCCCCGGCUAACUUCGUGCCAGCCGCCGCGGUAAAAC